CGGAUACGUUUAUCUUGAUGCGAAUGAUGAUAAAGAAAGGUGGCCUCUUCAUGAAAGCUACCGUACAGGGACGAGCUUGCGUACCAUUAGCUGGUUGGUAGGGUAAUGGCCUACCAAGGCGACGAUGGUUAGCGGGUCUGAGAGGAUGAUCCGCCACACUGGAACUGAAACACGGACCAGACUCCUACGGGAGGCAGCAGUGAGGAAUAUUGCGCAAUGGGGGCAACCCUGACGCAGCGACGCCGCGUGGACGAUGAAGGCCCUUGGGUCGUAAAAUCCUGUCAGA
rnacentral:rRNA from 1 species